UGUUAUGGUCAUUCAAAUGUUGUAAUAAUUUGUUUUUCAGUUAUACUACAGUUUGCUUUUGUAAUAAUCUACUUUAAUGAAACGAAACCUGUUUUGAAGAUGAUAAAAUGUUUAAUUUAUUUAAAAUAUUAUUUUUUCUUGUAAUUCAUUUAAUCUGAAACCAAGAGAUCAAGCACUUCUGGACUCAGUUGGAAAAACCUGUGAACUCAUUGCAAUUUAUCAUCAUCCUGUGCUUGAAGUCUACUAAUCAUUAUCCAGCUGAUUGCAUUGUUUUAUCUGCAAGUGAGAUCACUCAAAGGGAGGACAUGUACAUGAGCUCAGAAUAAAAAUAGCAAAUAUACCAGAGUAAAGGGGAAGCAAUCACUUUUAAAUUAGAUUACAAAUGAUCAAGUCUCCAUUUUUACAAGGUACUGCCCAAAGCAUGGAAAUAAUAUGUAAAUCCUUGCUAGUUUUGUCCUUUUCUAUCCAUCAAAUACCAAUUUCACCCAAUUCUCUUGGGACCAUAGUAUUUACUAGUACAGUAGAAGUCACAUGUCUAUAUGAUUUAGUUCUAUGCUUGAACACUAAUGCCAUCCAUGAUGUAAUCAGGAAGAUUCCCAGCUCCCCAGGGAGUAGUGUUUGUUAAAUCUGCUUUGGUGAAGUCAGCAGGGGAAUGAAAGGGGAAUGUCCUACAACAUUUAACCAUAUCUGAACUCACUGGCUAACAGCUAUGUUGAUCUGGGGCUGAGCACAGGUCAGUGUGGAUUUAAUUACAGCUAGCUGACAUGAUUACUCAUAUUAAGUUGUAGGUCAGCUCACAUGAUUUUUUACAUCUGUAUUCAGACAUGGUAAAACUUUGUGUUGUGGACUAGCAUUUGUAGGAGUUCCCUAAAAUAGAAGCUAGAGAGAAUCUGUUGUUUACUGGCUAGCGGUGUCGGAAGCAGGACUUCUGGGAUCUAUUCCUGGCUCCAACAACUUGCUAUCUGAUUUAGAGCAAGUAGUUUCACCCCUUUGAAUUUGUUUCCCCAAUCUAGAAAUAUAUAUAUAUAUAUACAUACACACCCAUAUUGCUGAGUGUACAAUUAAUAACAAAAUUUAGCUGUAGAAUUUAGCCUCUUUUUCUGUCCACAUAAUAGUUUUAGCUGCUCAAAUUAUUUAUGCAUUUUUGGUAUUUUUCUGAUCUGAAUACCUUGUAAUACCAGGUCAUUGUGUACUGUUGAUGUUUGAAAUUCAAAAUUUGCAUUGUGUCGCUUAGUUAUGUAUCAUGUAGCAAUCUUUCUGCUCCCUGAUCAGUUGACUUAUAUAACUAAGCAGCACCAUACCAUUUUAAAUUUCAAAUAUUAUCACCUAAUAUGCAAUAAAAAAUUCACUUAUGUUGCAUAUUUAAGCAUUCAUGCUUAAAACUCACUUUUUCACAAGUAUCUGUACUUGGAAAUCUUGUCUGCCCAAAUGUUCACAGCAAAUUAACUCAAAAGGAUCACAAAUGUGGCUGAAUUAAAAUUUGUUUUAGAUUUCAAAUGGCAAUUAAACAAUGCAAAGAAACUCCUUGAGGAGGAAGUAGGGGAGUUUCCUGUUGCCUAUGUGGGUUUUUCCCACCGAGGGGACAAUUUGGCCUUACAUUUUUUGGUUUUCUUAUCACUUUAUUUAACAAACUGUGCUCUCCUUAAAUGGAAAGGAAAAUCUUCAGUUCCAAAAGAUACCUGAGAUUUAGAGUUUGAACUGCAUCAUAUUAUACCUCACUAGAAUACAUAUUUAAACAACUAAAUAUUUAAUAUAGUUCCUCAAAGAAUUAUUUCAGAAAUGCAUGAGUGCAACUGUUCUGUAGUGAGUGGAUCUGCUUGGUAGUUUGUUGAAACUUAGUCACUUGUGCUUAGGCUUUUGCAAUAGCCACGUGAAAAAAUAAAGGGUUAUUUAUUAAGAGCAGAACAGUUCCCUUUUAGUUCUGUAGCAAUCAUGUCUCUUUUUUUCCAGUCCAUGGAAAGUGUUAUCUCAGGCAGCUUUGUGCAGGAAGUUCUGUUUAUCACUUCCUCACAGUUGCAGUUUGUCUAGGACUUAAAUAUAUGAUAUCAGAUUGCAUCAAAAUGUGGGCCUUUGUGUGCUUAACUCAUCAAAGGAGUGGACCCUCAGGACUUGAUAUCACUUCACUGCAUAUGCAGUCAUGUAGCAAAACAAAAGUCUAUCUAAACAGGACAGAACUAUUUCUGUUGGUGGUGCAGCAAAGCUAGCUGUAGAAUUGGUAUAGUUUCAGGUAUCUGCACUGUUUCACUUCUUGUUUUUAUAUUUAUCACUUUUUAAGAAGCGAUAUAUGGUUUGACUGCUUUUACUAUGUAAACUAAGAUGAAAACCAAAAGAUUACUUGCACAUAAAAAAAACAAUUGUUUUGCAUUUUAUAACUCACUGCGGUGUCUGCUUAUAUUACAGAAAUAUGCACCAAAACUUUUAUUCUACUUCUAUUUUACUGGUAAUUGUGUGAAUAAAUCUAAAACCGUUAAUGGUCAUCUACACAGGUAUGUGUUAAAUAAAGGUAGCAUGUGGUGUCCAACAGCACAGUAAAUAGCAGCAGCAACCCUGAGAAGUUUGGCUAUAGUUUAUAAAGCUCCUCUUCCACCUUUGUGGUUAUGCUUCUAUUUUCUAUCACCCUGAUAAAGGAGUUCCUUCUUCUGUAUAGCAGGCUGCAUUGCCAGAUGCUAGCCUAUAUGGGCAGCCACAGGAAGCCUAUUCAACUGUGUAGCAAUACUUCUGCUCUAAUCAGCAGCUUCUCUCUGCUGACUCUAGUUUUUAGUGCCAGCGCCUCCCCCAUAGCCCUUUCAAUGUCUUACCUAAAAGGUCCAGCACAAUUGCCUAGUAGGGAUGAUAAGUGUCUAUCAGCUUCAGAUCCUAAUGUCUUCUUGGCAAUCUAAAAAGAGAGAUGCUGUCUGACUGGGUUCCAUUUCUAUCCCCUCUUCCAUGCUUGUGGCUGUGUGUGUUAAUUAUGUGAUACAUGCAAAAGCCCAUUAAUCACAGAAUGUGAAUUCUACCUGACAGCAGCCACCUUCAUAUCCAUGAUGUAACAUACCCUCUUUAUUUGCCAACACCAGCUAGCACUAUAAAAAGGAACAGUCUUAUGUCUACUGAAAUUACUCAGCAGUAGAAGACAAUCCAGUAGAGGUAAGUCUGUCAUCUUUAAGUCUCUUUUCUUACAUGGAAUAAACUAUAUUAUUAGUAAACUUGGAAGAAUUUUGUUUUUAUUUUAAUUACAGUGGAUAUUAUGAUUUAAAACUACAAUUAACUCGAUACAAGAGAGAUUUAAGAGAGUGCCCCAAAUCAGCAUACCCUUCUGCCAAUGCUAUUGACCAACUGCAAGGGGAUCCAGUGAAUGGCAAUGCAACUCCAGCAGGAGCCAUAUUGCCGUGGAGAGAGGAGCAAGUAGACUUAUACAUGCAGCAUGGCGGAGGUCCCUUCCUUGUGAAUCCUACAGAUCUGCAAGGUUGGGAGGAGUGAAGCGUCCCAGUUCCACAGCUCUCUAAUCCCUUCUCUUGUGCCACGGAAACCGUGACGGGGGUCUUGUUGAGUUUCCCUCCUCUCUCUUGCUGCCUUCCACAAUUUUUUCCACUGGAGGGGUUGAUCUAUCCCUUAGCUAUCAUCAGUGUCAGCCAAUUGUGUGGAAGCAAAUUCAGAAGUGGCCAAUGGCAUUUUCACUGUGCAGUACCGUUGACCUUUCUUACAGAUUUGUGAAAAAAAUCUCCCUGCAGCCGGAAAACAAGCAAACCCUCAGAAUCAAGAUGUUUUUUUCAAGCAAGUCAAAUGUUUUUCUCUUCUUCCCCCCACCCAACUUGAAUGUUCAGCAAAAGUGAAAUUCAGUUGCCUGUCAUUCUGCUCCAGAAUAGUUUUGCUUUGAAAAUAGCCAUUCUCCACAUGGUAGGAUAUUUUUGUUCCAUGACAGAAUAUUUCCAUUUUUAUUAUGGAAAAAUGGUAUUUGUUGGUAAAUAUGGAAAAUCAAUGCUUUGGAUCAAAUUUAUAGAUAGCAAUCAGCACUAUAUCACAUUUCAUAUGCAUCCACUUGCAAAAUGGAAGUUUUUGCAUAGUUCUGCUUUGUGGAACCUCACACCACUGGAGACCUGCGGCUCUAUGGUCCAACCACUCAUUUUUGGUGCUUACUGUGAGUAUAGUACUACCUUUUCCUGUUCUCUGUAACUCCUAGAUCAUACUGUCAGAUACACAGAGUAAUCAACCUUCUAAAGCAUGAGAAGGCUUGGAUGAGCAAUGAUCUGUAUUGUGCAAUAGGAACAGCUUGGAAAAACACUGUUGGCAUGUAAAAGGAGGGGAGAAACAAAGAGAGGCCAUGAUCGUGUAAGCAGUCCAGAAGAUAGAGGCUAUUUAUUUAUACUUCUGACCAGAUUUUCCUCCCACUGUCUGGCCAUGUAACUUCACAGUCCCUAGCUUACUUUCUCUUAUUGUGGUGUUUUGGGUGCAGCUGCUUGAAAAGGAAGAAGUUUGGACCCCAACUUAUUAGGCUUUACAAUUAGUGAUGGGUGGAGUGGUUCAGAUUAAAUAAAAAGGGUCCCGAACUUUCACCCUGACAUUUGAACCAAAAGUCUCUUCUUUUUUGAGGUUGAAAAAGUUUGGUUAACUUUCUAUUUGUUUCAUUUUCACAUGCUUCUCCACUUCCUUCUUUUGGCUGAAAUACUUCCAACCCAGAUAGAACCAGGAAGAAUCAGAAAUAUAGCAGAGAGAUUGCAUUAAUAAAGGAAGGAUGAUCUUGUAUGUAAGGCGCUGGACUAGGACUCAGGAAAUCUAUGUUAAAUUCACACCUCUGCCAUAGAGUUCCUGUGUGAUAUUGGCAUCAUUUUAUUAAUUGCAAACUCCAUUGGACUCAGCAUCCAUCACUUGAUGAAGUGAGAAGCAUCAGUCUGGUAAGUCAGAUCCAUUUAUUGCAUUUUCUUAGUGCUUCUGUCUCUGGGGGGGGGUUUCAGCCAAAUUUUUAGUAGAGAAAUAUCUCUGAAGUGUAACUAACAGUGGGAUCUGCCCCUUAUUACUGACUGAAGCACCUGGCAGAAGGGUCAUACUGAAUGCAUUUGCAGUAGUUUAUUGGAACUAAAAGAGUUCUAAAUUCAAACUUACUUCCCCAUCGAAGAUGGUUUGUUUGUUUAUUUUGCACUUCCUUUCUUGGACAAUAAAACUAAACUGAUCUGGUUUGGUGAUAUGACACUGAUCUGUGGAUUAGAUCUCAGAUACACCCCCAUUUCUUGGGGCAGUGGUAGAUACAAUUUAAAUGAAAACCUCUUAGAUUUUGAUAAAAAGCCUUCAGACUUUCUGUAUUAAACCUUUCCUGGCAGGUGAGGAUUGGGCAGACCCCAUGCUCAGAGGAAGCAUUGCUAGAUAUCAGAGCACACCUGAUAGUUUGUUGGCACAUGAUCCAGCAUGUCUGGGUGCUUCCAUCUUCCUGCUCAACCAUACAGUUCAGAGGAUGAUGGCCGAGGGAGAGGGAGUCCAUUCCUGGUGGUCUAUAAAGAGGUUACUAUUUAUUGAAUUCCAUGUGCAGAAGCAAAGAUUUAAUGAACUAUGGAAAAUCAUAAAUCACCUGCAUUAUUAAAUGAAGAAUUGUUUAUUGGAACAUCACUGAUUCAAUUUUUACAAAACUAGAUACAAAAGACUCCGCCCCCUCCCCCGAAAAUCACUAUGCAAUAAAGCUGCUAAGCUGCGGCACCUGCAACAGCAAGACUCUCAAGGACCAGGCCUUUAACCAUGGUCAACCUGAGGGAGAAGAAAUGGAGUGUAAGAAUGAGAUGUUUGGAGCCCUCCUUACAGACAUGCAAAAACCCCACAAAUCUACCGAGAACUAGAGGGUGUUUUGAUGUCUGAGAGGGAGAAAGACUGGCAGUUAUGCGGAGAGAGUACUAAAGUAGUCUGGGACAGCAUUGCCAUGACCAGGGACAGAGUGGACAAAGAUGGGGAUAUGCAGAAGAGAUUCUUAGAGGCAAUGAAAAGGCAGAGUGCUUGACUGGAGUGCACACUGUUAUUAGGGCAACUUAUUGUUUGAGGGCCUCACCCAGGACCCAGCCACAUUCUGCAGCUCUGGAUAAUAUAGAGUACCUUGCUCCCAGAGGCAAUUCCCCUCCCUGGCCCCAGCACAGGGCAGCGAGAAUAACAGCAUACAGGAGCCCAGCAUAUUUGAGCCAUUCAAUACAGCCGGCAACUUUAAGCCCCGACACUCAACCAAGGAGUAGAAGAAGCAAAGACAGGAUGUUCACCCAGUUGUGAAGAGAAGCCCCCCCGCCCAAUUAUGUGAUGCCCACUCCAGCGCACUAUAUUGGAAUUUGACUUUGUCAGCUUUACAGCUGUUUCAUGUUGCUUUAAUCACUAUGAACAAAGUUUAUAAUAUAUUUUAAGUUUUUUUUAUUUUGGUAGUGGUUUCUUGGCAUAAUUUGUGCAAUUAAAAACUGUUUAAAGAGUCAUAGAAUCUGCAAGUCUUGGUAUACACAACACACAUUCAUACUUUUUAUUUUUAUUACAAAAGCAUAAAAGUGUGCACAGAUGAGAUAAAGUAAAGGGUGAAACCCAUAAAAUCAAUUCUGAUGCUCAAACUCUUAUCUAAUCUCCACUCCUUUGGAAACGAUAGUUCAUACCAUUUAAAAAUAUUCAGCUAGUUGACUUCCAAUGCAAUAACUGUCCCUCUAAUAUGCAUAAUUUUCCCUUUCAAAACAAACAUAGCUUUUUGUUCCUUAAUCUGGUGUUUCCCCUAAAUUCACUAUCCUUUUGGCAAGAAAAAAAUAAAAACAUGAAACAUUCAAAAAUAUAAUCUCCUCUUUUUUCCUGGAAGCAAAUUUUAAGACUUUCUGCAAGUAUUAUCUUUCAUACGCUAACAUUGUUUACAUGUGUUCAUACCUGCCAAAUCAAUGUAAAACGCUAGGUUGUUUGUUCAAUCUAUAUAAUCAUUCAUCAUACUGUCCUCUACUGUACUAAUAUCUUUAACUGCUCAAUCAAUCAUAACAAAAAUGCAAAUCCCAUGUAAAUCUUAUCAGCACCACUAAAAUAAUGGGAUUUUUGUUUACAACGUGUCGAUUGGGUUUAGAAGCUUUGAUAAUGACUCCAGACAGUCAAUAAAUACAGAGACUUUUACAUUGCCAGUAGGAGCCUAACUAAACUAUCUAAUCUCUAAAAUGACAGACAACACAAUGAACUCUGAACUUAAUCCCCUCCAAACACUAAGGAGACAGCUUAGUGCUUAAAGUACUAUUCAACCCGAAAACCUACCUUGGAAAAAAAAAUCAUUAAAGGGUCUGAUUUAAACACAAAAGACAAGGGAAAUUCAGAGUUAAGGCUGCAGCACCAAGAUGACUAUCCUUCCCAUUGUGCCUAGAUAUUGUAGAAGUCUGGCAUUAGUCCCUGAUGAUGGCAUGGGCUGAAAAAUCAGCCAGCUAAGUUCCAUCUUAUACACUUUCAAGUCUUUUUAAAGCAAGUUUUGAAUUUUAAGGGGGAACACAAAGCAUGUUGAACAACUUAGCUAUUUUGUGUCCCUACAGUAUAAAACAGGACAAUGGCUUUUUCUUCAAAUUUGGUAAGGGUUGGGGGGUAGAGACCUAUGCGGAAAUCUUAUGUGCCAAGCUUCAGCUAACUGUGAAUUUAUACUGAUCUCUUCAAAACUCCUGUGGCUUUAAGAGGAAACUAGCAUCAUAAAUGACAAUGCUAUAAUGACAAGCCAAUUUAUUUUGUCUUCACAUUCUAAAAGGACAUUGGUUUGAUUUAGAAAAAAACCCCUCAUCUCCUUUCAAUUUGUCUAUAACAGAAUGAUUUGCUUAUUGGGUCAAUUUGAAGCAUGUUUUUGUUUGGAAAAAGAAUGGUGCUAAAGGUGAUCUAUGAAAUUAUUAGAAAAAUUGGGAUUAUUUCAGAAAAUCAGAAUGAGGCCUCAUGUAUGAUAUGAGACUGGAUGGCUCAGGGGCUUGGUAACAGGAUACUGAGUCUUUCAUUUCUGUGUUACUGGUUCAAAUCAGGGCAAGUCAGUGUGUUUGAGGAUAUUACUAUACCAACAUAGCUAUGCUGGCAUAACCCAGUAAUGUAGACAGUCUACACUGACAGAAGGGGUUUUUUCUGUCAGAGUAGCAUCUCUGAAUGCCAUUAGCUAUCUCUCCCAAAGCCUUCUUCCAUUGAUGUAGCUGUAUCUACACUGGGGGAUUUGUUGGCACAGGUACAUCAGUUAGGGGUGUGGUUAUUUUACACCUCUGACCAGUGGAGCUAUGCUGAUAUUAUUUUUCAGUGUAGACCAGAAAGAAGUUGCUAAGUCUACACUACAAAAUCAAGUUGACCUAAAUUAUGUUGACAUACAGUCACUGCAGUAAUUAACCACUUUUGCGAGUCCACACUGUGCUCCUUGUGUCGGUGGUGCACGUCCUCACCAGGAGCAGUUGCAUUGAUUUAAGUGUCAGUGUGUGGCACUGUGGGAUGGCUUUUGAAAGGUAGCAUUGAUGUAAGCAAUGCAGUGUCUACAUUGACUCUACGUCAUGCUAACUACAUUAACCUAAGUGCUAUGCCAUCAACCUAAGUGCUAUACCAGUUCUAUGCUAACUAUCCUUAAACUACUGAUAUGGAUACUAAGCCUUAAUUUCAGUUUAGCAAAGUUUUUUUUUUGUUUUUUAAAAUACAAAUAACAAGAGCUUCAUUCUCUUGCGCUGUCACCUUCCUCUAGCAAUAAACUAAUUUGAAGGUAUAAAACAAAACUGCUAUAUCAUCACCAACUCUCUUGACUCAUAGAUGUUUAAUGAUUGAUUUUUGGAUAUUUGUAUGAAAUUCAGUAAAUUCUGAAUCCUUCCCAUGCCAUCAAAUGUCUCUUAAGACACAAAUGAGCUCUGCCAUCCCUAUGUAUCCUGGAUUGUUAUUUGCAUGUUCUCUAUGUCAAGUCUUGUAAGUUUUCCCUCUCUCAGUACUGUUUGAUGGAGGGAUUCUUUUGGUUGGCUCUUUUAUAUGUUUCUCCAGCUGUCUAAUGACAGACACUCUGGCUUCAUUCUUAACACAGGUUCCAGAUAUUUCCAUUUUCUUUUCUGGAUAACUCUGUAGAUAAGUUUGGGAACUUUCUGAGGAACCUCAACAUUUAUUAUCAAUUUAUUCCAUUUAAUAUCCAGCAUUUUCCGGAGGUAUUUGUCUUCAAAGUUCUUUUGAUACCUGUCUGUAGCUUUGGUGUAUUUCUAACUUUCACAUCCGUAUGUUAAAGUGAAAAUAACUUCUGAGUUGAAGAUUUGUAGUUUGGUCUGUAAAUUGUAGAUUUUUUUGAUAACCAAAUAUUGUUUAAGAUGAUGAAUGCAGCUACCAUCAAUUCCUAAAUAUUAUUUCCUUCUGGAUAUCCCCAUUGAUUUGCAUUAUAUUGCCAAAGUAUGUGAAUUGACUCCUUUCUUGUAUU